UGAUGUUCAGAGCAUUUGUUGCAAAUUGCUCUACUGUUUAGAUGGAUCGUUACGAACUAACAGAGCCCAAUGCAUGCAUGCAUGGUGCCUCAUCAUGCUCUACAUAUUUUAUAACAAAGACGGAGAGCAAGACAGACAGUUUCUUGCCUAGCAAUGAUGCUGGUUUGGGUGUCCUUAAUUAGGAAUUUAGGAUGGCCUUUUGCGGAUGUAUUUGAUCGUCGCUGACUCCGCUUGGAUAUGUUACAUUGUAUAACCAUCUCAUCCAUCCAAAGUUUCAGUAGCAGACUCUUGCAUCAUAAUCAAACAUGAUGCUUGUGUGCUACUUUAGGUACACUUCAAAAUACCAUGUCUGCCCAAGAGAACUGUCAAUAUAGCGUAAUAUCAUGUAAUUGGAGUUUUCUCAAUCCUCCCAUAUGUCCAUCCAUAUCUGAGAUCAGGAGAAGUGAAUGACGAGCUAGGUGAGAUGACAGAAUCAACAAUUAUCUGAUACCAGAAGUAAUGCGAAACCUAAUCUUGCCAUUAAAUUAUUGUGCUGAUUUGACCAAAGUUUUUGACUUUCUCUCUUUUUUGAUGUUUGUUGGAUAUCGUGUAGAUAUCAAGCAAUCAUGCAUCAAAUAGCACCUUGAAUUUGUUUGGACCAACAAAUAGUAAUUUGAUUUGGUUUUGACCGCUGAUAUGCAUGCUUGUGAUCUUUACAGCCGAAGUGCAUACUAUAUAUGUUCCCUCAGCCCCAAUAUUUCAGGGAUAUUUUGUGUCACUUUUAUUUUUGAGGGCCAUACCAGGUUUUUCAUAUUCUUCAGGUUUUAAUAGUUAGUAUUAGCAUACAUUACCCCUGUCGGUUCAUGUGAGUGCAAGUGUUUACCUGAAGUGAACUACUCCCUCCGUUAUAAGGCUUUUUAGAGAUUCCAAUGCAGACUACAUACGGAGCAAAAUGAGUGAAUCUACACUCUAAAACAUUCCUAUAUACAUCCGUAUGUAGCCCGUAUUGAAAUUUCUAAAAGGUCUUAUAUUUAGAAACUGAGGGAGUAGUUAAGAAAAGCCCCAACUUGUAUUAGAACAAUUAAGGAAAAAGUCUUGGGUUUGAUUUGUUAGAUCGUUUGUUUGGGUGUGUAAAGGCUAUCCUAGAGACCUAGACUUGCCUAUACUUCUUUGCCCAUAUCAUGACAGCUUAACUUCUCACUGGGUGAUAUGUGAAGCAAAGGUCAGGUCCAACACAACUGGGCAUGCACCAUCAACCGUGUUCUGAAAUUACCAGCACAAAUGGGGCUAGCAAGCGUCCUGCGUCCCCAAUAGUGGGAUGGGUCUUGUGAGUGCCUUCACUGUAUAAAUUUUGUCUGGCAUGGGUGCAUUCCUCCUCCUCAUGUCAUGCAGUCGUCACCCUUGUCCAACCAUAUGCUUUUUUAUACAUCUUGACCAUCGUCAUAAUAAUCCCCCAGGCCAGCAAGUUGCAGCAGGGAGUUCAGUGGAGUUGUGGCAAAGUACAAAGCGCAUCACUUGGAGAUGAAGCCACUCAAGCUCCUCCUGCACUGCAUCCUUCCCAUCUAUUUUGUGCUCAUGUUUGCGAACUGCUUCAUCAGAAAAGAAACGCAUCAAUCAUUUCAAGUUACUUGUGCUGGCUCGGUUUGCAAGAGACAGAAAUAAUUUGGCAGGCAUCACUAUUAUGACAAUGAUUCAUGACACUAUCUAUGACGGCGACGCUACGCUGUUGAGUAUUUGGGUAAAAUACCACCCUGCUAAGUAAGCUGUAGCCCAAUGGGUAGGAGACACAUCUGCCUAUGGCAGAGUGUGGCUUAUGUGUCAGCUGGCAGAGAGAGAUUAGUUUGUGUUGAUGCAGUGUGGAUAAGAUGUUAAUCUCUUGAGAUGAUAUGCUAAGUUGCUAACCACUACCAGCCCCUAAUAUUUGGUGAGAUGCUUAUCUUGGUGCGUGCAGGUGCAGGACCCUCCUGAUGAUCAGAAUCUUCCAGGUAAGUAGUAUCCUAACAGCUCAAUCUGUGGCCUCAUAUAAAAGAAGGGGAAAAGGGUAGAGAUGAUAGUCAAUCAUUCCAUGGUGCACACACUCAUGCAUGCACACACUACUCGCUGCACUUUUAUCCUGCCUUUUCUUGCUCUCUAUCUAGCCAUUCUCUUUGGGAACAGUUUUUGUGCAUGCCGUGUCUCUUUAUGGCAGGCCAUGUCCAUGUAAGAUUGGGCAAAGUCCAUGCACCACUUGAGCUAGCUAGCAGAUGAAGUGGUGGCGUGGUGCUGGUGGUGGCAUGGCAGCAGCAGCACACGUAGAGGUGGGGGUAUCUAAUAAUCCCCGGAGAGGGGAGCCCGCGAAUCAUACAAAGGGAGCUUCCAUCUGCCGGUGACGACCUGAUGACGCAGUUGUGCAUCUGCAUUCCAUUCUCUGUGUGACAAAGUAAUAUGCAGGGAACAAGUCGACAGAAUCUUCAACGAUAGUACGAGUGUCUUUGCACUAUCAGUUGCACAUGUUUCAUCUUCGUAUUCUUGCAUUAGGACUUAUAAGAGCAGUUGGUUAGGAGCAGAGUAAUCGUGCCUGAAUUAAAAAGACCCAUGGUUUCUUCUAGAUAGAUAGACAGGUCAAAGACUGUUGUGUGCCUGAAUUAAAGCUACCAACUAUAUCCCCAGAUCAGAUAACAUGAUGAUAAUAACCUAAAUUUGCAUGGAAAAAUGCUACUCUUUGCAUGGGUGCACAUAUGAAUUAAAAAAAAGACGUUUUUCAACUUCUGAAAAAUUGUGAAAAAGUGCAUACGUGCAGAGUAUGGAUAGAAACUUGUCUUUGCAUUUUUUUUGUAAAAACAAAGACCACCUACGCCCUGCAAAAAAAAAAAAAACGCCUCGACACAACAAGUGAAGUAGCCUUUUGUGUUCGAACUUUGUUUUUUUAGUUUCGCAUACCUACGACCUGCAAAAUAAACUCUUCACAACAAGUGAAGUAGCCUUUUGUGUUGGGAGUUUUUUGUUUUUGUUUCGCACAGUUUGCAAAUUUAUAGGGACAAGUUUCUAGUAUUAUUUACAUGUAUGUUUCUUUUGUAACUUUUAAAAACUUGGGGAGUGUGAUUCUUUUUUUUAAGUUUCUAGUACUCUAUUAUUGUGUGCAUGUAUGUUUUUUCUUCAUAACUUCUCAAAUCAUGGAAAAUGUUUUUUUUUUCUUGGUAAAGAAACGGGCUCAUAUAUAUCCACCCAAUGCCCUGGAAAUUUAUGGUCUCCAUAUGCAUGCUGCCUCAACUGAACUUUCCAUUUGAGCUCGGGCAGUAUGUGUUUGAUUAGAUACAGUUUCAUCUGGGCUAAUCUGGCGUGCAUCGGCAUGGCAUCGGUGGGUCGUCCACUUCGUUCUCUGCCUAUUUUGGGGGCUGGAAUGUGCUCUGGCCUCUGGGCUAUCUAUCCCCUCUGCUACUACUGUUGCAAGCACCAGUGCACCACCAUGUAUGGCCUCGGCGGCACUGCACUGCACUGUCAUCCCAACAUGCCAUCCUCUGCCAGCGGCACCACGGUGGAUUGGUGGGUGGUGUUGGAGGGAGCGACAGCAGGCCAAGUACGUUUCUGAUGGAUGAUUGCUUCAUCUUCUCACAUACUCCAGCUGCAUCUAUCUCUCUCGUAUUGACGGCCAGAAAGGUACCCAACCCAUAAAUGCAUGUUAACCACCGACGGUUACAGCUUGAAAACGGUGUUUGCUUGUAGCUAGACUGAACAUCGUUUGCAAGACCAUUACAAGGGACGGAGGGAUCAUUGUCGUCGGCAAACAAUCGGAAAGAUUGCGAGGGCGGGAGACAUAGACCCCCCACACACGUUGGUGUCUUCUUGGUGCAGCGUUCGUGCGGGUCUAUUUUUCUUGCGUACUAUCGCUGACGUGUAAUGCUACUAACUAGCUUCGAUCGACCACUAUCGGUGAUUCCUCUGCCCUCCGCUGUCUAGUGUCUACCUACGGUGGAUGGAUACCUUGUGGAAUUACCAACCUGUGUCUCCUGUGGAUAAGACACACUACCACACGAGUCCACACUGCUUUGAAAAUGGCAGGCCGGACCAAAUUAGCAAACAAUCAAUUGCAGAAAAUACAGGUGCAGAGGCCCCACUCUGUUUUUCUGUGAAAUGAAGAUUGCAAUGCUUCCUAAGAACGAAACCUUCAACUGUGAUGAAAAUCAGUCUCCCAACA